GUCGUAGGCCGUCUUGUAGUCGUAGGCCGUCUUGCAGUCGUAGGCCGUCUUGUAGUCGUGAGUUGCCUAGUAGUUGUAGGAUGUCUUGCAGUCGUAGGUCGUCUUGUAGUUGUAUGUUGUCUAGUAGUUGUAGGUUGUCUAGUAGUUGUAUGUCGUCUUGUAGUCGCAGCUCGUCU